rnacentral:rRNA from 1 species
GAUGAACGCUGGCGGCGUGCUUAACACAUGCAAGUCGAACGGAAAGGCCCAAGCUUGCUUGGGUACUCGAGUGGCGAACGGGUGAGUAACACGUGGGUGAUCUGCCCUGCACUUCGGGAUAAGCCUGGGAAACUGGGUCUAAUACCGGAUAGGACCACAUUUUGGAUGGUGUGGUGGAAAGUUUUUCGGUGUGGGAUGAGCUCGCGGCCUAUCAGCUUGUUGGUGGGGUAAUGGCCUACCAAGGCGUCGACGGGUAGCCGGCCUGAGAGGGUGUACGGCCACAGUGGGGGAGGGAGCGGACCCAGAGCCCACGGGGGGAGGGAGGGGGGGAAAAUGGACAAAGGGGGGAGGGCGUGUGGCGGGGCGGCGGGGGGGGGGGGAGGGCCUUUCGGGUUGUAAACCCUUUUCGCGGGGGAGAAGGCGUUUUUGGGAGGGUACUGGGAAAAGAAGCACCGGCUAACUACGUG